AAUAGUCCGCGAGAACUACCUCGAAAGAGCAAAACCAGCCAGGUGCAGUGGCUCACGCCCAUAAUCCCAGCACUUUGGGAGGCCCAGGUGGGUGGAUCACGUGAGGUCAGGAGUUCAAGACCAGCUUGGCCAACAUGGUGAAACCCCGUCUCUACUAAAAAUACAAAUGUUAACUGGGCAUGGUGGCACAUGCCUGUAAUCCCAGCUACUUGGGAGGCUGAGGUAGGAGAAUUGCUUGAACCUGGGAGGCAGAGGUUGCAGUGAGCCAAGAUUGCGCCUUUGCACUCCAAUCUGGGGGACAAGAGCAAAACUCUGUCCCAAAAAGAAAAAAAAGCGACACCACAUGGGAGGAUGUUUCUUGGGGGAGGCGUGCUAUGCCCGAGCCGGCUCCAGCACCGGGGGCGCUGGCGUGUGUCAGGAGCAUGCCUCCAGGCCGGUGUGAACUCUGCAACUUCACAUUGUACCUCCUGCCACCGCUGCUGCUUCCCCGAGCCCCAGCUCAACUUGGAGCAUGAGCUCCCACCCUGAGGAGGAGGCUGUCGAUACUGUGUUUCUUUCCAGGGAGGCAACGGGUGGGUGCGAUAUUGUCACUUAAGUUGCCACCUCUGCAUAAGAGGUCUCUGAUCAGAAAGCAGUUUCUUUGUUGACCCCAGCCAGCCUUGGCUCUCGGGUUGGGAAAUAUGGUCACGAUAUCCAUGGAGAGCUCUUGAGGUGGAGACGGGGCGUUAAGUCUUUCUCAGCAGUCUGAGGUGGCCAGAGUCUGAAGCAGGCAGCCUUUGUGGAGCGAGGGGAGCAGGUGGGCCCAGCCUGAGCGGGGCCUCUGCACAGCCAGCUUUCCCCAUACCCGUCUCCAGCCAGGGCACCCACAGGCCCUUUCUCUCCCAGGAUGAAGCCUGCUGGGAGCGUGAAUGACAUGGCCCUGGAUGCCUUCGACUUGGACCGGAUGAAGCAGGAGAUCCUAGAGGAGGUGGUGAGAGAGCUCCACAAGGUGAAGGACGAGAUCAUCGACGCCAUCAGGCAGGAGCUGAGUGGGAUCAGCACCACGUAAGGGGCCGGCCUCGCUGCGCUGAUUCGUCGAGCCCAUCCGGUGACAGAGGACAGCCAGGAGCCCAGCCAGCCCCAGACUCCAGUGCACCAGAGCACGCACAGGAGCCUGGGCGCACUGCUGUGAAACGUCCUGACCUGCGAUCACACAUUACAGUGAGGAAACCAACAACUCCUGGGUUUUUUAGAUUCUGCCUGACACAGAACACCAGGUCUGCUCGUCUUUUCUGUGUUUUAUAUUUGCUUAUUUAAGGUACAUUUCUUUGGGUUUCUAGAGAGACGCCCCUAAGUCACCUGCUUCAUUAGACAGUUUCCAGGUUUUCUCCCAGGUGACGCUGUUAGCGCCUCAGCUGGCAGUGACAGCCGGCCCGGCGUGGCGCCACCACGCACCGCAGCGCUGUCCAGGCACAGCUCCGUCCCCAGCGCUCAUGGUGUUGAAACUGUCAUGCACCACGGUGUCUGUGUCCACACAGUAAUAAACCGUUUACUGUCCGC
rnacentral:sRNA from 1 species